CAUUGUUUCGAUCAAUGAUGCAGCUUUUUAGCCUUCGGCAUUCUACGUAUAAAAUACAUAGAUAUGUAUUUUUAUUACAGCAUGUUCAGCGUUCGUGAAGCUUUACGGAAACAGAAAUUAAUAUACCUUAUAGUUGAAAAUUAACAAUAUGUACAUACGUUGUAUCGUAUCAUCAUACCAACGAACGUUUCCACGACGUUGAACAAAUACAACUGUAAUAAUUACAAUUAUACGGUAAUAUCUAUGAAGGCAAUUUCUAAACAAUCACGUUUUCGCUAAGAUUUACAACAAUAUUUACAUAUGCAUAUAUCCAUGUGAUAUGAAACAGUCGAAUAAAUUUUGGACUAAGGCCAAAACUCAAGAUAGUCCUUGUAUAUUAAUUAUUGUUGCGAACAAAAUUGAUCAUCUCAUAACGAAUCGUGCGUAUUUUCUCCAUAAGUACUAAGGUAACGCGCAAACGAAGGUUCGGCAGAAUUUUAUGUCCCAAAGCAGGCAAGACGUGGCAACGUUGGAAAAGGUAACUGUGUAUAAACUUCACUAAUGUCCAGGAAGGACGCUUUCUUUUCUGUACAUUGUUUUCUUUUGUAAGGAAAAGAAUAAUUCUCGUCGAAGAUGUUAAACCUUUGCCAAAUAUAAUGAUCGAAUACAAAUAUAGCCUAUGAAAAAUAAGUUAUAAUAUAGAAAACCAUGCAUACGCGAAAUAUAUAUGUUACAUUAAAUUGUGCGCUGAUGACGAAUUUAAGAGCUACACUACGUAUCGAUCUCACGAAGAUAUUAAUAUCCGUUACAAACAGAUUUCAUUGAAAAGAUAUUUUCUUCCAUAUUUUAAGUAUAUAAUCUUUAUUUUUUAUGUUUAUUGCUUAAUAUACCUUAUAGUUAAAGAGUAACAAUAAUACCUACAUUAUAUCGUAUCAUUUACACCAACGAACGUUUCCACGACGUUGAAUAAAUAUAACUGUAAUAAUUACAAUUAUACGGUAAUAUCUAUGAAAGCAAUUUCUAAACAAUCAUGUUUUUACUUAGAUUAUAUUGUACGUAUAUAAUAUUUACAUAUGCAUAUGUCCAUGUGAUAUGAAACAGUCGAAUAAAUUUUGGACUAAGGCCAAAACUCAAGAUAGUCCUUGUAUAUUAAUUAUUGUUGCGAACAAAAUUGAUCAUCUCAUAACGAAUCGUGCGUAUUUUCUCCAUAAGUACUAAGGUAACGCGCAAACGAAGGUUCGGCAGAAUUUUAUGUCCCAAAGCAGGCAAGACGUGGCAACGUUGGAAAAGGUAACUGUGUAUAAACUUCACUAAUGUCCAGGAAGGACGCUUUCUUUUCUGUACAUUGUUUUCUUUUGUAAGGAAAAGAAUAAUUCUCGUCGAAGAUGUUAAACCUUUGCCAAAUAUAAUGAUCGAAUACAAAUAUAGCCUAUGAAAAAUAAGUUAUAAUAUAGAAAACCAUGCAUACGCGAAAUAUAUAUGUUACAUUAAAUUGUGCGCUGAUGACGAAUUUAAGAGCUACACUACGUAUCGAUCUCACGAAGAUAUUAAUAUCCGUUACAAACAGAUUUCAUUGAAAAGAUAUUUUCUUCCAUAUUUUAAGUAUAUAAUCUUUAUUUUUUAUGUUUAUUGCUUAAUAUACCUUAUAGUUAAAGAGUAACAAUAAUACCUACAUUAUAUCGUAUCAUUUACACCAACGAACGUUUCCACGACGUUGAAUAAAUAUAACUGUAAUAAUUACAAUUAUACGGUAAUAUCUAUGAAAGCAAUUUCUAAACAAUCAUGUUUUUACUUAGAUUAUAUUGUACGUAUAUAAUAUUUACAUAUGCAUAUGUCCAUGUGAUAUGAAACAGUCGAAUAAAUUUUGGACUAAGGCCAAAACUCA